UACGUAGGGUGCAAGCGUUGUCCGGAAUUAUUGGGCGUAAAGAGCUCGUAGGCGGUCUGUCGCGUCUGCCGUGAAAAACCCCGAGGCUUAACCUCGGGCUGGCGGUGGAUACGGGCAGACUAGAGGUAGGUAGGGGAGACUGGAAUUCCUGGUGUAGCGGUGAAAUGCGCAGAUAUCAGGAGGAACACCGGUGGCGAAGGCGGGUCUCUGGGCCGAUACUGACGCUGAGGAGCGAAAGCGUGGGGAGCGAACAGG
rnacentral:rRNA from 1 species